CUUAAUUUCAGUUUGUAUGAAUUU
rnacentral:siRNA from 1 species